CCUACGGGUGACAGCAGUGAGGAAUAUUGGUCAAUGGGCUUACGCCUGAACCAGCCAAGUCGCGUGAGGGAAGACUGCCCUAUGGGUUGUAAACCUCUUUUGUCAGGGAGCAAAGGGCGCCACGUGUGGCGUUUUGCGAGUACCUGAAGAAAAAGCAUCGGCUAACUACGUGCCAGCAGCUGCGGUAAUACGGAGGAUGCGAGUGUUAUCCGGAUUUAUUGGGUUUAAAGGGUGCGCAGGCGGAAUGUCAAGUUAGCGGUAAAAUUUCGGGGCUCAACCCCGUCGUGCCGUUGAAACUGGCGUUCUUGAGUGAGCGAGAGGUAUGCGGAAUGCGUGGUGUAGCGGUGACAUGCAUAGAUAUCACGCAGAACUCCGAGUGCGAAGGCAGCAUACCGGCGCUCAACUGACGCUCAUGCACGAAAGCGUGGGUAUCGAACAGGAUUAGAUACCCUUGUAGUC
rnacentral:rRNA from 1 species